UUUGGCUGUGGCAACAUUCCAUCAAUGGUAACAGGAGCCCUCUUUGCACCCUCCUGGUGUCCCAGAAUGCUUUGGCAUGGAAGGGACCUUAAAUAUCAGCUGGUUCCAACCUCCUGCCAUGGGCAGGGACACCAUGCACCACAUCAGGGUGUGCAGGACCCUGGCCAGCUGGCCUUCCAGGGAGAGGCAUUCCAUUUUAGUCUGUGACUGAGAACUCUCAUGAGAUGUUUUAACUUUAAUCCCCAGGAAACAGAAAUUAAAAUUAAAUGAAGAGAUUUUUGAAGUGCUCAACUAUUCCUCUGCUGAGCAUUUCACAAGAGGAUUGGGAGGAGAUUUGCUCUGCUCCUGGAGACAGCACCUUACUCUUGAAGCCCUGCUCUGCUAUGAAAGACAACACAGCAAGGAAAGUGAAAUUAAAAUUCAGUUUUCUUCCA